rnacentral:rRNA from 1 species
GGACUGAGACACGGCCCAGACUCUACGGGAGGCAGCAGUGGGGAAUAUUGCACAAUGGGGGAAACCUGAUGCAGCGACGCAGCGUGCGGGAUGACGGCCUUCGGGUUGUAAACCGCUUUCAGCAGGGAAGAAGCCCCUUGGGGUGACGGUACCUGCAGAAGAAGUACCGGCUAACUACGUGCCAGCAGCCGCGGUAAUACGUAGGGUACAAGCGUUGUCCGGAAUUAUUGGGCGUAAAGAGCUCGUAGGUGGUUGGUCACGUCUGCUGUGGAAACGCAACGCUUAACGUUGCGCGUGCAGUGGGUACGGGCUGACUAGAGUGCAGUAGGGGAGUCUGGAAUUCCUGGUGUAGCGGUGAAAUGCGCAGAUAUCAGGAGGAACACCGGUGGCGAAGGCGGGACUCUGGGCUGUAACUGACACUGAGGAGCGAAAGCAUGGGGAGCGAACAGGAUUAGAUACCCUGGUAGUCCAUGCCGUAAACGUUGGGCACUAGGUGUGGGGGACAUUCCACGUUCUCCGCGCCGUAGCUAACGCAUUAAGUGCCCCGCCUGGGGAGUACGGUCGCAAGGCUAAAACUCAAAGGAAUUGACGGGGGCCCGCACAAGCGGCGGAGCAUGCGGAUUAAUUCGAUGCAACGCGAAGAACCUUACCAAGGCUUGACAUACACCAGACCGUUCUGGAAACAGUUCCUCCCCUUUGGGGUUGGUGUACAGGUGGUGCAUGGUUGUCGUCAGCUCGUGUCGUGAGAUGUUGGGUUAAGUCCCGCAACGAGCGCAACCCUCGUUCUAUGUUGCCAGCACGUGAUGGUGGGAACUCAUAGGAGACUGCCGGGGUCAACUCGGAGGAAGGUGGGGAUGACGUCAAAUCAUCAUGCCCUUUAUGUCUUGGGCUUCACGCAUGCUACAAUGGCUGGUACAGAGAGAUGCGAGACCGCGAGGUUUUAGCGAAUCCCUUAAAGCCAGUCUCAGUUCGGAUCGUAGUCUGCAAUUCGACUACGUGAAGUCGGAGUCGCUAGUAAUCGCAGAUCAGAAC